UACGGAGGGGGCUAGCGUUGUUCGGAAUUACUGGGCGUAAAGCGCACGUAGGCGGACAUUUAAGUCAGGGGUGAAAUCCCGGGGCUCAACCCCGGAACUGCCUUUGAUACUGGGUGUCUGGAGGUCGAGAGAGGUGAGUGGAAUUCCGAGUGUAGAGGUGAAAUUCGUAGAUAUUCGCAAGAACACCAGUGGCGAAGGCGGCUCACUGGCCCGGUACUGACGCUGAGGUGCGAAAGCGUGGGGAGCAAACAGG
rnacentral:rRNA from 1 species